ACUGUCACCCGCUCCUCCUUUAUUCUGUUGAUUUAACUUUGAGCAGCGCAUUCAUUCACAGUCAGCAGCGAUUAGUGGAGAGAUGACAAAAGCAACCAUUAACGAGAGGGAUUCAUUACAAUGACGGUCAUCAACGGAGGAGACGUACAUGGACACUAGAUCAGUUUGAACUGAGCAGGACUCUAAGCAGGUUCUGAGUCUUAGAGGGAAGCGAGGAGGAAGGAUUUCCAUUCAGUAACAGCUCAAACAUCGUGAGGUCGUCAAUACAGGAGCAACGGACGGAGAAGAUCGGCAAAAGUCCGUCUUAACAAGAGAUUUCAGCUAACAGAGAAAGUGGGGUUACACUACCAGGUCUCCUAAUACUAGACAGCUAAUUGUCUGGCUGGAAACCUCCUAGCCUCGGACAAGCCGGGGAAUAGAUUCCUGACAUGAGCGACUAGCACCUUCGACAAACAACGACGCACCGGCGGAUAAAGCGCACUGAUCCCCUAAGAGCGACCACCUGUUUCCAGCGCAGACCGAAAGGUGGUGUGAAGUUUGAGAA